rnacentral:pre_miRNA from 1 species
GUACUACUCCCUCCGUUCGGAAUUACUUGUCGCAGAAAUGGAUAUAUCUAGACGUAAUUUAGUUCUAGAUACAUCCAUUUUCGAGACAAGUAAUUCCGAACGGAGGGAGUACGAA